rnacentral:rRNA from 1 species
AGCAGCCGCGGUAAUUCCAGCUCCAAUAGCGUAUAUUAAAGUUGUUGCAGUUAAAAAGCUCGUAGUUGAAUUUCGGGGUCAGUAGGUCGGUCGUGCCACUGGUAUGAACUGGUCUCACUGAUUCCUCCCUCUUGUAGAACCGUGAUGCCAUUAAUUUGGUGUUGCGGGGAAACAGGACUGUUACUUUGAAAAAAUUAGAGUGUUUAAAGCAAGCUAACGCUUGAAUACAUUAGCAUGGAAUAAUGAAAUAGGACGUCUGUCUUAUUUUGUUGGUUUCUAGGAUGGACGUAAUGAUUAAUAGGGAUAGUUGGGGGCAUUAGUAUUCAAUUGUCAGAGGUGAAAUUCUUGGAUUUAUUGAAGACUAACUACUGCGAAAGCAUUUGCCAAGGAUGUUUUCAUUAAUCAAGAACGAAAGUUAGGGGAUCGAAGACGAUCAGAUACCGUCGUAGUCUUAACCAUAAACUAUGCCGACUAGGGAUCGGAUGAUGUUAAUUUUUAAUGACUCAUUCGGCGCCUUAAC